rnacentral:miRNA from 1 species
UUCCUUCCGGUCAAUGAGGUAGAUGUACCUCAUCAAUCGGAGGGGUUUCCUUCCGGUUGAUGAGGUACAUGUACCUCGUUGACCGGAAGGAAACCCUUCCAAUCAGCGAGGUACAUGUACCUCGUUGACCGGAAGGAAACCCCUCCAAUUGAUGAGGUACAUCUACCUCAUCGACCGGAAGGAA